AUGGAAUUCAUAUGUAAAACCACGUAUCUCAUUGUGGUUGAUGAUGUAUGGACAGUAGCAACAUGGGACGCAAUCAGAUCGAAAUUGCCAGACAACAACAACGGCAGCAGGAUUAUUGUGACCACUCGGCUAGAGAGUGUUGCCGAAGCAUGCAGCAAUGCUGGAUCAGGCACAAAUUGCAUUUAUUGGAUCGAGAACCUUAGUUCGCAAUACGCCAAGGAGUUGUUCCUCGGCAGAAUAUUUGGUCCUAAUCAUUCUUCUUGCCCCGACGAUCUGGAAGAUGAAAUGAACAAAAUUAUAAAGAAGUGUUGUGGGCUCCCAAUGGCCAUUAUUAGCAUUGCUGGCCUCUUGGUGAGCUAUAGAACGUCAGAGAGCAAAGAAAUGUGGGAGAGAGUUCGCAAGUCGAUUGGUACUCACAUGGAGAGCCGCCCUACCCUUGAGGGGAUGAAGCAGAUUAUUAGUCUCAGCUAUAACCACCUGCACCAUUAUCUCAAGGGUUGUAUGAUGUAUCUCAGUUUUUUUCCGGAGGAUUAUGUAAUCGUUAAGAAUCGGCUCUUGAAGAGAUGGAUCGCAGAAGGACUGGUUGCUGAGAUUCAGGGGUUGACCUUAAUGGAGGUAGCAGACGUUGGUGAGAAGGAGCAUGAUUGA
rnacentral:rRNA from 1 species